rnacentral:tRNA from 2 species
GGGUUUUUGUUUCGGAAACAUUUAAUUUUGAAAAUUAAAACAAAACGUUCAACUCGUUUAAGACCCC